rnacentral:misc_RNA from 1 species
CAUUUCUUGACAAGUUUCAUGUUUCAUGUUACUACAAUUGCCUAACUAAAGAAGAGGGCAGCAACUAAAAUAGCAGGCACUAAUAAUUACUAGCUUUCACGUCUUAAUCUGUGGUUCAAAGAGAGCAUGUGGAGACAUUUAUACUAUCUCAUGUCAUUGCAUCAAUCAAUCAUUCCCUACAUCAUCACAGGCUUUUUCAUGGUAAUAUGGCGAGAGCUUCCCAUCCUUCUUGUUGGAUUUAAGCUUGCUCUCUACGCUAGCCUCUUGCAGCAUGUUC